rnacentral:snRNA from 1 species
GCGGGUGCACCGCCGACCGA